AUAAUGGGUCAGCGACUUAUAUUCUGUAGCAAGGUUAACCGUAUAGGGGAGCCGGAGGGAAACCGAGUCUUAAUUGGGCGUUAAGUUGCAGGGUAUAGACCCGAAACCCGGUGAUCUAGCCAUGGGCAGGUUGAAGGUUGGGUAACACUAACUGGAGGACCGAACCGACUAAUGUUGAAAAAUUAGCGGAUGACCUGUGGCUGGGGGUGAAAGGCCAAUCAAACCGGGAGAUAGCUGGUUCUCCCCGAAAGCUAUUUAGGUAGCGCCUCGUGAAUUCAUCUCCGGGGGUAGAGCACUGUUUCGGCUAGGGGGCCAUCCCGGCUUACCAACCCGAUGCAAACUGCGAAUACCGGAGAAUGUUAUCACGGGAGACACACGGCGGGUGCUAACGUCCGUCGUGAAGAGGGAAACAACCCAGACCGCCAGCUAAGGUCCCAAAGUCAUGGUUAAGUGGGAAACGAUGUGGGAAGGCCCAGACAGCCAGGAUGUUGGCUUAGAAGCAGCCAUCAUUUAAAGAAAGCGUAAUAGCUCACUGGUCGAGUCGGCCUGCGCGGAAGAUGUAACGGGGCUAAACCAUGCACCGAAGCUGCGGCAGCGAACGUAUCACCCAAGACAACUUUACGGAGUUGACGAUUGACGGAGCGAAGCGACGUCAAAGCGUUCAUUAAAGUCGAGUUGGCUUAGGGAUACGUUCGUUGGGUAGGGGAGCGUUCUGUAAGCCUGUGAAGGUGUGUCGUGAGGCAUGCUGGAGGUAUCAGAAGUGCGAAUGCUGACAUAAGUAACGAUAAAGCGGGUGAAAAGCCCGCUCGCCGGAAGACCAAGGGUUCCUGUCCAACGUUAAUCGGGGCAGGGUGAGUCGACCCCUAAGGCGAGGCCGAAAGGCGUAGUCGAUGGGAAACGGGUUAAUAUUCCCGUACUUGGUGUUACUGCGAAGGGGGGACGGAGAAGGCUAUGUUGGCCGGGCGACGGUUGUCCCGGUUUAAGCGUGUAGGUGUGUGUUCCAGGUAAAUCCGGUUCACUUUAACACUGAGGCGUGACGACGAGGCACUACGGUGCUGAAGCAACAAAUGCCCUGCUUCCAGGAAAA
rnacentral:rRNA from 1 species